rnacentral:misc_RNA from 1 species
UUUGCAGCGUGGCAAUGG